rnacentral:misc_RNA from 1 species
AAGUCGUAACAAGGUUUCCGUAGGUGAACCUGCGGAAGGAUCAUUAACACGUGAAUACUCACGUUUUAACACUCACCGAGAACUGUUGUAUCCCCUGUUGUAGAACAUAGGUGGUCUGGGAGCGGAAUGGUGUGAGGUAUUCUUAACUGAGUAUGCUCUUCAUCCUGGACCUACGAUAGUGCGACUAUCAGCCAUUGCCUACAAACAGAAGAUGAAUUGCGGCUGCUUAUUAAGCCUGCACCUUGGCUUGCAGUCCGUGGUGACCUAAUUCACCCCUUUAUUAUUUAAUUUCUGAUGUGUAUGUUUAUAAAUGAUUCCUGACUUCGGUUGGUUGAGUCGCUUAUAAAUGUCGUAUAAUACUAAUACGAAACAACUCUUAGCAACGGAUAUCUUGGUUCUC